UGAAUGGCUCAGUGAGGCGUUCGGACUGGCCCAGAGAGGUGGGCAACUACCACUCAGGGCCGGAAAGUUCUCCCAAACUCGGUCAUUUAGAGGAAGUAAAAGUCGUAACAAGGUCUCCGUUGGUGAACCAGCGGAGGGAUCAUUA
rnacentral:rRNA from 1 species